rnacentral:rRNA from 1 species
AGUGAACGCUGGCGGCAGGCCUAAUACAUGCAAGUCGAACGGCAGCACAGCAGAGCUUGCUCUGUGGGUGGCGAGUGGCGGACGGGUGAGGAAUACAUGGGAAUCUGCCCAGUCGUGGGGGAUAACGUAUGGAAACGUACGCUAAUACCGCAUGCGCCCUACGGGGGAAAGCCGGGGACCGCAAGGCCUGGCGCGAUUGGAUGAGCCCAUGUUCGAUUAGCUAGUUGGCGGGGUAAAGGCCCACCAAGGCGACGAUCGAUAGCUGGUCUGAGAGGAUGAUCAGCCACACUGGAACUGAGACACGGUCCAGACUCCUACGGGAGGCAGCAGUAGGGAAUAUUGGACAAUGGGGGCAACCCUGAUCCAGCCAUGCCGCGUGAGUGAAGAAGGCCCUCGGGUUGUAAAGCUCUUUUGUCCGGAAAGAAAAGCAAUCGGUUAAUACCCGGUUGUUCUGACGGUACCGGAAGAAUAAGCACCGGCUAACUUCG